GUUCUGCUUUCAGCAGCUACUUUUCUGGUUUGAAGGGGGGAAGGAAAAAAAAACUGGGGAGAACUAGGCGGCUUUCUGAUCAGAGUUCAGAUAAAAAGGGUCACAGUAAUUUGUGGGCACUGACUAAAAUAACCCAAUGGAUUUGAGAGUUACCGCAAAAGAAGCAAACAGACAAACUAAAGAGGUAUAACUCCUACUUGAAGAGUGUGAGAGAAUAUUUACUACUCGGAUGUUUGAGACAUACCAAAAAAUGCUUUUUGAUCCUUUAUCAAGAAGACGUAAUGACCAAGAUUGAUAAAGAAAAAUGCAAUGGUUACUUUACCUGCAACCAUCUCAAAGACGCUCUAAUGUCAUUUCAGAGGACUUCAGCCAUGAACUUGGUGAUGAGCCAGAGAAGGUAACUUUUCAUCCCCUACAAGACCUUAAAGAAGAAAGCCUUAAAAACCCUUGAGUGAAUGGUUGGUAUUUACAGACAAGCAAAUGUAUGGAAGAGAAACGAGAGACCCAGCCUGAAUCUGUUGAAUGAACGAAAGGGGAAAUGCCCUAAGGAGUCAGAUGGAAGAAGUUUUUCUGGGAAGAGCAGAACACAGGAGUUGGGGUGCAGACCUCCUGGAUCACCAGCAGAAGGAAAAGAGCAGUGAGACGUUAAAGUGAUUGAGACAAAAAUGGAAGUAAAACAGCUUAAGGCUUUCUGAGAUCGAGUUCCUGGCAGUGUCAUCAGCAGAUGGUUUCUUCUGAAGUUCAGGGGAAGAGAAGAUGCUCGAAGAACUCUCCAGGGACUGAGUGGGUGGUACAGAGCUAGUGCUGUAGAUGCCAUGUAUACAGGCAAAUUCCCCAAUGAGUGUUUUCCAAUAUCAAGUUUAACUGGCAUUUAAGAUAUAUGCCAAAGGUAGGUAAAUUAUUUUGGCCUGUGCUUAUAGGUUUAUUUCCCUGGAUGAAGCUUUCUGUCUCUGUCCUAGUGCACUGUAGCAGAUGCAGGGUCUUUCCAUACAAUACAUUAAAAGCUGCAUCUCAUUUUAAAUAUAUUAUAGAAACCCUGAUCAUACAAUACAUACAAGAUUUUUAAGAUCAGCCUUCAGUCGAUUUUUUUGCUUUAUUUUUGUUCUGGAGGUCAAAAUGAGUGGUUAACUGUCUAAGUUGAUUGCAGAGAAAGUUACUACUCAUUCUAAACGUAGGUUUUUAGAAAAGUGUUCUUGGCAGUUGCUACCAUUGGCUUUUUCCAACUUACAUGGGAAUCAAGAUUCAGAACUGGUACACCAAUGGGAAGAGCCUGGAAAAUAGACUAUUGAUCAAGAUGAAUCUGGUCCAGAUACUUUAAGACCUUUUCAGUGUGUUUUUAAGAUUAUAAGUUUGAACUAACAGAAACUUCAAUGCUGUUUUUUCACAAGUCAAUGUGUAGUGUACUGUUAUUCUUUUUUUUCCUGUAAUAUCUUAAUAAUAUUCCUGGCUGUAAGAAAAAGUUAACACUAUACCUAUGUUUUGACUUACUUUAUAGAAGACCCAAACAAUAUUUAACAAAAGGAUUUUUCUCAAAUACUAUUUUGAAAUCACUAUAUUAGACACUAUCUUAAAUUUAUUUCUCAAUUUGCUUCUUUUUGAAACUUCCACAUUUUGGUGUUCUUUUCAGCAUCACUCAUUUUCUUUCAUAAUAAAGAUACCCAAUAACAAUAUCAUAAUAAAGAUUUGAUAACAAAUCUCCAGUUUUGGAGUGUUACAUUUCAUAUCUACAUGCUUACAGAGAAUUUAGUAUGAAUAUUCCCUGGCCUUAGUUCCUCUAAGCCUAGGAUACUUGUAGUCAUUUGGCAAAUAAUUUAAUCCAUGGCAAACAUGAGUCUUAAUACAAAAAUUAUUGAGUAGGCAAAAAAUAAUUGAACAUAUUUUGGACUGAUUACCAGUGCAUUAAAAAAGUAGAGGUUUAAGGAUGAGAAUAAUAAGUUUUUUUGUUUUUACUUAAAUUUAUAUAAAAGGAGUGAAAAUACAGUAGCCUAUAGUACUUAAGAGUGUGGGUAUAUUUUCAGCACUUAAUAAUUACUAGUUGAAUUGCAUAAUAUGGGACUAUAACUGAUAUGGUUUGGCUCUGUGUCCCCGCCCAAAUCUCAUGUUGAAUUAUAAUUUCCAAUAUUGGAGGAGGUACCUAGUGGGAGGUGACUGGAUCAUUGGGGGAAAUUUCCCCCUUGCUGUCCUCAUGAUAGUGAGUGAGUUCUCACAAGAUCUGAUGGUUUAAAAGUGUGUGGCAUUUCCCCCUUUACUCUUUCUCUCUCCUGCUGGCCAUGAGAAUAAGUGCUUGCUUCCCAUUCACCUUCUGCCAUGCUUGUGUUUCCUGAGGCUUCCCAGCCAUGCUUCUUGUUCAAGCUGCAGAACUGUGAGUCAAUUAAACCUCAUUUCUUCAUAAAUUACCCAGUCUCAGCUCUUUAUGGGAGUGUGAGAAUGGACUAAUAAAAUAUCUCUAGAAUUAUGUUUUUGGAGAUAAUUUAAAGAUAAACAAAUAUUGGAAACCUCAUUUGAUCACACAGAGAACAGUAAAUGGAAGUUCUACUUUUUCUCCAGGGCCUUUCUCAUGCUUAUGCAGGGAUUAUUCACCCAGAUAUCCUGAAAUAAGACAUCCAAUUAAGGUACCUGCUAUCUCAUGUAACACAGAAGAAAGUUGAGCAUAGAGGUUAAACAUUACCUAAUAUUGUUGGAAAAGCUUCGAAGCGUUCAUUUUCAAAGCAGCUAAUGUAAACCAUGAUAAUCACUAGUAGCACUAUGCCAUUUUAAAUACUUCAAUAUUUUGUAGUUAUUAGAUUCUAAGUAAGUAUAAAAUGUAGUGAAUACAAAUUUUAUUUGCCUAAACAGUGUUAGACAAUAUAAAUUAACGAGUUAUUUUUUAUUCUGUUUAAUAUUUUCAAGCCAAUAAACACUUUACUAAAGUA
rnacentral:lncRNA from 1 species